rnacentral:rRNA from 1 species
GGAUUAGGCAUGCAAGUCGUACGCGCAUGGUUCCUUCGGGGACCUAGUAGAGUGGCGGACGGGUGAGUAAUGCAUGGAUAACCUGCCCCUGAGAGGGGGAUAACCUUCCGAAAAGGAGGGCUAAUACCCCGUAAUGUGCGGAGCUGUAGGGCCUCGCACCAAAGAUAGCCUCUGAUACAAGCCUUCGCUCAGGGAGGGGUUCAUGUCCUAUUAGCUAGUUGGUGAGGUAACGGCUCACCAAGGCGGCGAUGGGUAGCCGGCCUGAGAGGGUGACCGGCCACACUGGGACUGAGACACUGCCCAGACUCCUACGGGAGGCUGCAGUCGAGAAUCUUCCGCAAUGCGCGCAAGCGUGACGGAGCGACGCCGCGUGGGCGAUGAAGGCCUUCGGGUUGUAAAGCCCUGUUACCUGCUAUGAAAAUCGGGCGGUGAACAGCUGUCCCGGUUGACCUCAGCAGGAGAGGAAGCACCGGCUAAAUACGUGCCAGCAGCCGCGGUAAUACGUAUGGUGCGAACGUUGUUCGGAUUCACUGGGCAUAAAGAGCUCGUAGGCGGUUGGGUAAGUCCGAUGUGAAAUCCCUCGGCUUAACUGAGGAACUGCAUCGGAUACUGCUUGACUGGAGUGCAGGAGGGGAGAGUGGAAUUCCUGGUGGAGCGGUGAAAUGCGUAGAUAUCAGGAGGAACGCCGGUGGCGAAAGCGACUCUCUGGCCUGUAACUGACGCUGAGGAGCGAAAGCCAGGGGAGCAAACGGGAUUAGAUACCCCGGUAGUCCUGGCCCUAAACGAUGGGCACUAAGUAGAGGGGUUUU